rnacentral:rRNA from 1 species
CAGCCGCCGCGGGAAUACGUAGGGUGCGAGCGUUAAUCGGAAUUACUGGGCGUAAAGCGUGCGCAGGCGGCUUUGCAAGACAGAUGUGAAAUCCCCGGGCUCAACCUGGGAACUGCAUUUGUGACUGCAAGGCUAGAGUACGGUAGAGGGGGAUGGAAUUCCGCGUGUAGCAGUGAAAUGCGUAGAUAUGCGGAGGAACACCAAUGGCGAAGGCAAUCCCCUGGACCUGUACUGACGCUCAUGCACGAAAGCGUGGGGAGCAAACAGGAUUAGAUACCCCUGUAGUCCCUGUCUCUUAUAC